CGGCGUGCUUACACAUGCAGUCGAACGAUGAACCACCUUCGGGUGGGGAUUAGUGGCGAACGGGUGAGUAACACGUGGGCAAUCUGCCCUGCACUCUGGGACAAGCCCUGGAAACGGGGUCUAAUACCGGAUACUGAGCCUCGCAGGCAUCUGCGGGGUUCGAAAGCUCCGGCGGUGCAGGAUGAGCCCGCGGCCUAUCAGCUUGUUGGUGAGGUAACGGCUCACCAAGGCGACGACGGGUAGCCGGCCUGAGAGGGCGACCGGCCACACUGGGACUGAGACACGGCCCAGACUCCUACGGGAGGCAGCAGUGGGGAAUAUUGCACAAUGGGCGAAAGCCUGAUGCAGCGACGCCGCGUGAGGGAUGACGGCCUUCGGGUUGUAAACCUCUUUCAGCAGGGAAGAAGCGAAAGUGACGGUACCUGCAGAAGAAGCGCCGGCUAACUACGUGCCAGCAGCCGCGGUAAUACGUAGGGCGCGAGCGUUGUCCGGAAUUAUUGGGCGUAAAGAGCUCGUAGGCGGCUUGUCGCGUCGGUUGUGAAAGCCCGGGGCUUAACCCCGGGUCUGCAGUCGAUACGGGCAGGCUAGAGUUCGGUAGGGGAGAUCGGAAUUCCUGGUGUAGCGGUGAAAUGCGCAGAUAUCAGGAGGAACACCGGUGGCGAAGGCGGAUCUCUGGGCCGAUACUGACGCUGAGGAGCGAAAGCGUGGGGAGCGAACAGGAUUAGAUACCCUGGUAGUCCACGCCGUAAACGGUGGGCACUAGGUGUGGGCGACAUUCCACGUCGUCCGUGCCGCAGCUA
rnacentral:rRNA from 1 species